GAAUCUUGCGCAAUGGGCGAAAGCCUGACGCAGCAACGCCGCGUGCGGGAUGAAGGCCUUCGGGUUGUAAACCGCUUUCAGCAGGGACGAAAUUGACGGUACCUGCAGAAGAAGCCCCGGCCAACUACGUGCCAGCAGCCGCGGUAACACGUAGGGGGCGAGCGUUGUCCGGAUUUAUUGGGCGUAAAGAGCUCGUAGGCGGUUUGUCGCGUCUGCCGUGAAAGUCCGGGGCUCAACUCCGGAUCUGCGGUGGGUACGGGCAGACUAGAGUGAUGUAGGGGAGACUGGAAUUCCUGGUGUAGCGGUGAAAUGCGCAGAUAUCAGGAGGAACACCGAUGGCGAAGGCAGGUCUCUGGGCAUUAACUGACGCUGAGGAGCGAAAGCAUGGGGAGCGAA
rnacentral:rRNA from 1 species